rnacentral:tRNA from 1 species
GUUAAGGUGGCAGAGUCCGGUUAAUGCAAAAGACCUAAGCUCUUUGCACGGAGGUUCAAGUCCUCCCCCUAACU